rnacentral:rRNA from 1 species
CGGCGGCUACCAUGCAAGUCGAGCGAGAUCUUCGGAUCUAGCGGCGGACGGGUGAGUAACGCGUGGGAACGUGCCCUUCUCUACGGAAUAGUCCCGGGAAACUGGGUUUAAUACCGUAUACGCCCUUCGGGGGAAAGAUUUAUCGGAGAAGGAUCGGCCCGCGUUGGAUUAGGUAGUUGGUGGGGUAAUGGCCUACCAAGCCGACGAUCCAUAGCUGGUUUGAGAGGAUGAUCAGCCACACUGGGACUGAGACACGGCCCAGACUCCUACGGGAGGCAGCAGUGGGGAAUCUUAGACAAUGGGCGCAAGCCUGAUCUAGCCAUGCCGCGUGAGUGACGAAGGCCCUAGGGUCGUAAAGCUCUUUCACCAGGGAUGAUAAUGACAGUACCUGGAGAAGAAACCCCGGCUAACUCCGUGCCAGCAGCCGCGGUAAUACGGAGGGGGUUAGCGUUGUUCGGAAUUACUGGGCGUAAAGCGCGCGUAGGCGGGCUGUUAAGUCGGGGGUGAAAUCCCGGGGCUCAACCCCGGAACUGCCCUCGAUACUGGCAGCCUAGAGUUCGAGAGAGGUGAGUGGAAUUCCGAGUGUAGAGGUGAAAUUCGUAGAUAUUCGGAGGAACACCAGUGGCGAAGGCGGCUCACU